rnacentral:lncRNA from 1 species
UGUUAGAGUAUCAUAAAAGUUAUAUAGUGUGUAUAUAAUAUAGUGUAUAUGGUAUUAUAAAAGUUAAAAAAACGUCCUUUUAUCCUGGCCUCAGGUACCAUGUCUGGAUAUUCAGCACAGUACUGGCAAUGUUGCUGUUGGCAGGAUGCUAUUGUCACAGUGGCAUACCUCUCAAUGCCCAGCAGGUGGAAGCAAAAUUUAAGAGUUCAGUAGCACCAUCUUCAGUUUCUUCCUUGGCUGACAAAAGCAGUCCAAAAUGAAACAAAAAAUACUUCCAUUAUUCUGAAAUGUCAGAUUUGGGUUAAACAGGCUUAUCUGCAGAUUCCUUAGAAAAGUGAGUAGCCACAACUUGUAAUUUAUAAUAUCUGGGAUGGUCAUUGUAUAUUAUCACAUUAUCUAGGCACUUCCCCAUUAUUUAGAAUUCUGGAGUCACAAUCUAGAUGCAUGCUUGACUGAAAGAAAACAACCAACCAACCAAUAACAACAACAACAAACAUAAUCAGGACAAAGAUUAAAUGAUUACAUAGGUUGGAAAUACCUCAUAAAUUUCUCCCUCGGAGCUGAAUCAAAGGACAAGAAUACUAAAGAAGUAAAGGAGUAAGGAAACCCUUUGUAUAUUAUAAAGAAAAGUCCAGAAUCAAAAGUUCUCCUGCCUCCCUGCCCAGCCCCAGAUAUUUUUUUUUUUUCCAUUUUGCAAUUAAAUCCAUCAUUAUUAGCUUUUUAUUUUCCUUGGUUCUGAGUGUAGAGAAUGAAAGGUCCUGUACAACCAUUUGAGAGUUCAUUCUAAGAGGAAGGGGUUGUAGAUGCUUUCUUCCAUAUUUUUUUCUGUAGAAGUACUUGAGUGAAAUAUGAUGACCAGGCACUUCCAAUGACGAUGCAAGGUUUGAAACUGGAAUAACUUUGAAGUGUUUUAAAUAACUUUGUAACCUAGAUCAUUUUUCCAAUAAAUUUGCUCUUGUCAUUCCCUUUUUUUUUUUUUUUUUUUUUUUUUUUCCUGAUGAUAAGAGGAAUAGUAGAGAUUUGGUGCUAUGUGAUUUAAUUAGUACUGCUGGUUAGAGAUGGCGCCAAUGGAAAACAAGACUCAGUUGACAUAUACUGAAGAGAAAUUAGUUGGUUCACUUUUCUACAGUGAUAUAUAUACAUACAGAGAUGAUAUGAUUUGCAUGGUAGAAUAUAGGUGAAAGGUGUCUUUGGAGAGAACAAAAAGAAAAACUGAGGUGAACGGGAACCUAGGGAAAGGAGACAGUUCAGAGAAGGCAAGGUAUCUGAGCUGUUCUUGUAAAUAAGGUAGAAGAUUACAGACUGUGUUCUCUUCCUGGCUCUUGCACUGAGAUCUUGAGCAAGUCCUUUCUCUAUCAUAUACCCUUCACACAGCAGAGCUUAAUUC